ACAAAACGCGGCUGGGUGUCAGGGCUCGGCCGUAUCACUAAGUCCCUGCAUGAUGUGUGAUGACAUCAGUACUCCAUUCCUCAAUGCGCACGAGAGUCACCUGGAAAGCUUUCAAAAUCUCUCUUAUGCUCCACCUCCAAACAACAGCACCAGAAUCUCCGGGGAAAGGACCCAAGCAGAGGUAUUUACUAGACGGUUCAUGGUGAUUUAGUACUAGAUGAUCUCAAAGGUCCCUUCUGACUUGGAAAUCCUCUGCAUCUAUGAAAUCUUCACCCACCGCCCCUUCCUGAGGGUUGAGGGGGACAUUACAGAGGGUGCACGUAACCGGAGGGAGGCACGGACGAUGCCUCGCCAGGACCUGCUGCUCCACUCUGGCAGUGUCUUUGUGAAAAUAGUAACUUUUUUUUUUUCUCGGACUGAUUUAUGUGACAGUUGGAAAGCAGCCCCCAGAACAGGCUGUUCCUCCCCUCGGUACUAUUAACAUAAAUAUGUGCGCAGGGCCUUCGGCUCCUGCUUCUCUCUGUGUAAACGAGGCUUAAAGGGGCCGUGAAAGCCUGAAGAGAAACCAGAGGAGAGGAAAUGUCAUUAGAGGCACAAGAAUGAAAAGGGGAAAAGGACAGGACGUUGCUAAGAGACAAUGUCAAGCUGGGCCAUGGGAUUAACAGCCGGUAUCAAAGCAAGUCCUUCUUAAUGUUUACUCCAGGGUGAAAUGCACAGAAAAGCAUCAUUACAAGGUGGUCUCACCUGCAUUGUGAACCUGUGGCAGAGACCCCAAGAGGGACACUGUAAUGAGACUUUCGUAAACUACCCCGGAGUCCUGAGCUGGCUGCGUGCUCCGGUGCCUUACGAGAGGGAAAACUGUCAUUGGGAGCAGCAUCAAGGGUGGCACCCCAUGACCAUGCAGGCUCACGAAGAGGGAGCAAUGACCCAGGUCACACAGAGUCAAGGCCAAACACUGAACCCCGAGUUCCUCAGGGCCCUUCCUGGUGACUCCUUUACAUUCAUCACACUUUGAGGAGUUCCAUACGGAAGGCCCAUUCUGGAAUGAGUGUGGUGAGGAGGGCAUCGUUCCAGCGUUUCUCAAAUGGUACCCAGCAGAUGCCUUGGCAUUAAAUCAGCCUCAUCUCCAAGACCAAGAGUGGCUGGACCUCAAAGAGCCGUUGAGGAAGCUGAGAACAAAGGCAGCUGGAGUUUGACUUUAUCCCACCCAGAUGACCCCUCUGUGAGCCUCUGGUUAUUCUAUCCUGAACGCGAGGUGAACGUGUAGAAGUCUGGGGUCAUGGCCUAGGAAGCCAAGUUCUUGUGGGACAAUAAAAAUCCGAACCAACUGCUGGCCCUGCUGGGUCCAUCUGUUAUUGGAAUUAAGUUCCCCAUUUCAUUUCAUUCAAACUGAAGAAACUUUCUGGCACGGUGUCAGGUUUCAAACAGAAAUGUCAGCCAAGGGCUCAUGAGGCCAAGGUCUGAUCAGAGCAAACUUGAAUCAAUUUACGCAUUAGGUAAAAAUUCAUAGGCAAGUUAGUGGUCUGGCGAGCCUUUCUGUUAAAAAUAUCCCUCAUUUGCAUGUUCUGGACUAAAAACCUGCAAGAAGCUGUGUAUGAAAUCAACAUCAGAGGCCAACAUGACUUCUACCCGACGUGAGCGUACAUCUGUAGAUGAAUGUGAAGGGCCCACUAGAGUGAUUUUCUUCCCCAGUAUAAGAGCAGAAAAGAACUUGAACAUAUUCUCAACUCCAAUUUAAACCUUGAUCUCUGACCCAAUCAAAGCUAACCCUAUUAAUAAUAAUAGUAACCUUUAUGGAAUAUUUAGUAUGUGCCAGGCUCUAUGUUAUGUACCUUACAUUUACUGAUAAAUUAAUUCUGUUGAUGAUUCUACAAAGUAAGUUUUAUUAUUUGCUCUAUUUGAUAGAAAAUGAAACAGAGAAACAGAGGUUCAGAAACAUGCUCUAGCUUACAAACCAGCAGAGACUAGGAUUAAAAGCUGCACAGUUCACCCCUAGAAUCUCUGCCCUUAAUGCUGGUCAGUAACUGGUUGGGUAAUGAACCCAACAUGCAGGAAUAUAAACUGAUGCUCGUUGCAUGUUUAGUUGUAAUCUCAUACCCCAUACAGCAUUUUUCAGAACUCAGACCCCAUUUUGGUGGCAAAGAUAGGUCAGCCACAUAGCAGAACUUGUUUUUCUCCUUGCAGUUGCUGGUAUAAAGAGAAAGCACUAGGAUAAUUAACUGGAAAACCCAGUCUCCAAAUGCUUUUGUUUUGUAUCAAUACACUAGACAGGUCAAGAUUCUGCUUAUCUCCUAGGUUGUUGAAGAAAUGGUUAAAUCACUUCUUUACACCCUUAGCAUUUGGGCAGAGAUAUAACCAGGGAUUGUCUGGGAUUCCUACAGUCUGAAGACCAGGAUAAGGAAUAACAUGGCCAAAGAAGGUGCCCUGCUGGGGGGUUGGCAGGUCUCAUCCACCCACUAAAUUAUUUCCAACUAUACACUCGCUCUUUGCAGCAAGCUUCAAUCAAACCAUAACCUAAUCAACAAAUAUAUGGAAAGAAGCCCAACUCCAGUAAUAGGGAUGGGAACACAAAUUAAAUGACAUUUUUCACAUAUCAUUUUGGGAAAAACAUCAAAGUUUGAUAAUAUCAAUCAUGGCAAUGUUGAGGGGAAGCAGGUAAGCAUCUGCUGAGGAAAGUGUAAAUUGAUGAAAGAUUGCUGAUGACAGUGUGAACUGGACGGGCCAUUUUGGAAGUAUUCAAAAUGUACACAACCUGUGAGCCAGUAAGCCCCUUUUACAUAAGGGGCCACCAAGAAACAUUUUUACAUAUUCAUAAGGAUGCUCAUUGCACCAUCAUUCAUGGUCUCAAAAAAUUAGCAAUAGAUGAAAUGUAACAAUCCAUACCAUGGAAUGCUAUACAGCUCUUAAAAAGGUAGAUCUCCUCUAUAUACUGCCAAUAAAAAAUGCUUAAGACAUACUCUUAAUUUUAAAAAUCCACAGAGCAUGGUAUCAUCCAAUGAUAUUAUCACACACACACACACACACACGAAACCAAUAUAUUAAAAAAAAAAAAAAAGGAAGGGAAAAACACACAUCAAACUCAAAGACUAGAUUACCUCUGGGGAAGCUCCAGGGUUUGAGAGCAGUGGUCAUGGGUACCACCCAUCAUUCAUUCAUUCAACAGAUAAUGUCAGGCACCUUCCAUGCCAGGCACUGAUGCUGCCUUGUGAUCAAAAAACAGACAAAAAUCCUUGCAACCAUGACAUCUUCAUCCUAGCAUUACUGUUUUGUAAGGUAUGUUUAUAGAACAAGAAUGUAUUUAUAUAUUACCUCUGGAAAUAAAAAUAAGUAAAAACAAAAGCAAA